CUUAAGUACGCGUACCUGUCGUCAGGAUACACUGCCCACAAGCAGGGAAGGCCACUGUGGGUACAUUCCUGAGGGUGACACGCACUUAUCCAUGUUGCCUCAAGCCUGUGGAAAACUAAACAGACACCCUCCGAUCAGUUCGCACAGUUUCAUUAAUUUUCUUCCUACCAUGAAGUGACAACAGAAAGGGUACAUUCGGAGAAAUAAUUGGGAAAUCCCUGACAGCACUGAAAGAGAGAGCUGUAGCUAGAAGGAGCCAGAAAGCCAAGGAACCACUUGACGGCUGCAGCGCUCAUCACCUCGGCACAUAUAUGAAAAGUAGCUACGUUGAUCACCUGACCUCCCUUGGGCGUUAUUGAGCUUGAUGUCCGUCAGCAGGCUCCCCUUGGCUUCCUGGAGGGUCUCAAGCUUGUGGGUGAGGCUUCCAAUCAACUCCGCCUGGAACGAGAGGGGAGACGCAUAGCAAAACUUAGCC